rnacentral:tRNA from 1 species
AUGUAGCUUAGUGGUAGAGUGCUUGCCUAGCAUGCAUGAAGCCCUGGGUUCAAUUCCUCACAU